rnacentral:SRP_RNA from 1 species
GCCGGGCGCGGUGGCAUGCGCCUGUAGUCCCAGAUACUUGGAAGGCUGAGGUGGGAGGAUCGCUUGAGUCCAGGAGUUCUGGGCUGCAGUGCACUAUGCCCAUCGGGUGUCCACACUAAGUUCGGCAUCAAUAUGGUGACCUCCCGGGAGCAGGGGACCACCAGGUUGCCUAAGGAGGGGUGAACCGGCCCUGGUCAGAAAAAACAGGCCCAGGCACACCUAUAAUGCCAGUACUUAGGAGGCUGAGGCAGGAGGAUUGCACGUGUUCAUACAUACAUGUAUAUGUUUGCUUUUCCCUUCUUU